rfam:Siansivirga zeaxanthinifaciens CC-SAMT-1, complete genome.
UAAGGUGGUUAUAGCGACGGGGCUCACCUCUUACCAUUCCGAACAGAGAAGUUAAGCCCGUUAGCGCCGAUGGUACUGCAUUUGUGGGAGAGUAGGUCGUUGCCUUUU